rnacentral:lncRNA from 1 species
GUUUUGAUUAGGUGAUUACUUGACUGUAUUUUUAGUUAUUAUUUGAUUACCAAACGAAAUAUUUCAUGAUUAUUUGAUUUUGUUUUAAUCAAGACUCAAUCUUUUAUCAUUUGAUUAUCUUGUUUAAACAUGAUUAAUUAUUUUGUGAUUAUAUUGGCAAAAACAUGUGAUUACCUGAUUAUUUUAUCAUCCCAACGAGGGGCCUCCUUU